rnacentral:rRNA from 1 species
AUUGAACGCUGGCGGCAGGCCUAACACAUGCAAGUCGAACGGUAGCACAGAGAGCUUGCUCUCGGGUGACGAGUGGCGGACGGGUGAGUAACGUCUGGGAAACUGCCCGAUGGAGGGGGAUAACUACUGGAAACGGUAGCUAAUACCGCAUAACGUCGCAAGACCAAAGUGGGGGACCUCCGGGCCUCACACCAUCGGAUGUGCCCAGAUGGGAUUAGCUAGUAGGUGGGGUAAUGGCUCACCUAGGCGACGAUCCCUAGCUGGUCUGAGAGGAUGACCAGCCACACUGGAACUGAGCCACGGUCCAGACUCCUACGGGAGGCAGCAGUGGGGAAUAUUGCACAAUGGGCGCAAGCCUGAUGCAGCCAUGCCGCGUGUAUGAAGAAGGCCUUCGGGUUGUAAAGUACUUUCAGCGGGGAGGAAGGCGGUGAAGUUAAUAGCUUAACCGAUUGACGUUACCCGCAGAAGAAGCACCGGCUAACUCCGUGCCAGCCGCCGCCGUAA